GUGUUUGCGACCUCUGUGUGUUAACGAGACUCGCUGUGACACGCUGGGCGUUGAUAAUGAUGUUCGGUGAUGAGGGAAAAAAAAAUAAAAAAAUAAAAAAUAAAAAAAAAUAAAAUAAAAAAAUAAUUAAAAAAUUAUAAUAAAAACGAUGACCUAACGGAUGUCUCCUGGAGGUAACAAGGACAAAAAAAGGACAUCUUUAGGCUAUCAUUGCUAGACAUCCUAUGGCUGUCUUGUCUCCAUCAGAAAUUUUCAAUUUGGAUGUAGAUAUGGCUGGGAUGUACAGACGUGCCAUGGACGUCCAAGGGAGGAAAAGUGCCACUAGGGAAGAAACGCUGAACUGGUCUGGGAUUUCAACCAUAAUCAGCUCCCUACCAAAAUGCGCCUCACAA